GAUGAACGCUGGCGGCGUGCCUAAUACAUGCAAGUCGAGCGAACAGACGAGGAGCUUGCUCCUCUGACGUUAGCGGCGGACGGGUGAGUAACACGUGGAUAACCUACCUAUAAGACUGGGGUAACUUCGGGAAACCGGAGCUAAUACCGGAUAAUAUAUUGAACCGCAUGGUUCAAUAGUGAAAGACGGCUUUGCUGUCACUUAUAGAUGGAUCCGCGCCGCAUUAGCUAGUUGGUAAGGUAACGGCUUACCAAGGCGACGAUGCGUAGCCGACCUGAGAGGAUGAUCGGCCACACUGGAACUGAGACACGGUCCAGACUCCUACGGGAGGCAGCAGUAGGGAAUCUUCCGCAAUGGGCGAAAGCCUGACGGAGCAACGCCGCGUGAGUGAUGAAGGUCUUCGGAUCGUAAAACUCUGUUAUUAGGGAAGAACAAAUGUGUAAGUAACUAUGCACGUCUUGACGGUACCUAAUCAGAAAGCCACGGCUAACUACGUG
rnacentral:rRNA from 1 species